GAAACACUAUGCACUUACUCAGAGCCACCAGGUUAGAAAUUCACUGGCAUUAGAAAAAGGAAGGCCCUGGAGAACUGUCAACUGGUGAAACUCCUCCUUGAUGCCCUGAAGCCUCCAUAAAACUGCAAAAUAUUGCAGAACUUCAUCAAUUAUUCUCCUAUCCCUUGAAUGGAAGUUUGAGAGCAACUGACAGGAAGGUCAGGCUACCCAGGGACUGUGGAUGGAGUUGGCAGAGAGCGUCCCACUGCCGGCAACCCCAAACCCAUCUUGCUUGCAGAGAACUGCCUCACGGAAACUGCACCUGGGAGAGUCUACACCCAGAGACUGAGCAGGCAUCAAUCCCCAAGAAGCACCUUGUAUUCUAAACUCCACCUCAGUGUCUGCCCAGAGAACCCGACCUGCCACACCUGCCCACACCCCACAGACGUAGGUGUUAAUUGAGAAGCUCCUCCUCAUUCCAGCUUCUUGGAAGGUGUCACAAGAUUUGUACAAAAAUACAAAUCUCUGGCAUUUUGGGGGUAUUUCUUGGAUAUUUGUUGGGUAAUUCUUGGGUAUUUCUUUUUUGGGUAUUUCUUGGGUAAUUCCUGGGUAUUUCUUUGGGUAACUCUUAGGUAUUUCUCUAGCGGUUGGUUGCCUUUGGUUUCAGCAGGGCAGCUGGGGCCACAAGGCCUGUAAGGGUCCUCUCAGCGCUGACACUGCAGGAGGUUUUAUUUCCUCCAUUCUAUCCUCAUCACACCCACUGGGAAACUUCCUUGGUGUCAUAUUUCUUAUCUCGUGUUCUCAGGGCUUCCUGUGUCCACACAGAAAACCCUUCCACUGCACUGUCAUUUAGCUUUCAUGCAGCUGUCUUCUUUACUGGAUGGAAACCUUUGGAUUAAAGACGCUGUCUUUCAUCUUAAAGUCACCUGUGGUACCCACAGCUGAGUCAGGAGCCUUGAAGGUAUUUGAUAAAUGCAUGCUCAGUAAAUGAACCCAUGAGGACACUGUCUGGGUUACUCUGACUGAGGAACACAUGAUGAAUGGCACUCCAUAACUCUCUUUCCAAUUGUCCAGUCUUUUGGUAAACUAUAUC